CGGGCUAUAGCGCAGUUUGGUAGCGCGCCUGCUUUGGGAGCAGGAUGUUACCAAAGCAUUGCUGCUGUGACCUCCGCUGAGCACUA
rnacentral:tRNA from 1 species